rnacentral:rRNA from 1 species
GUGCCUACACAUGCAAGUCGAACGAGAAAGGGGAGCAUCCCUGAGUACAGUGCGACCGGGUGAGUACACGUGACAAUCUACCCUCGAGUGGGGGAUAACUCCGGGAAACUGGGGCUAAUACCGCAUAACAUCUUCGGGUCGGAAGAACUGAAGAUCAAAGGAGCAAUUCGCUUGAGGAGGAGGUCGCGGCUGAUUAGCUAGUUGGCGGGGUAAUGGCCCACCAAGGCGAAGAUCGGUAGCCGGCCUGAGAGGGCGCACGGCCACACUGGAACUGAAACACGGUCCAG